rnacentral:lncRNA from 1 species
UUGAUUGUGUACACAUGUUGCUUUACCAUUCUUCACCGUUUUUUGGCCCAAUCAUGUUCAGAUUUGUGUAAUUUUUCUUAAAGCUUCUCCCGUUUGCACCGAUAAUCACUGCUUCAUCUUCUUCUUCAAUGUAAAACAACCAGGUAUUCUUGCUCUGUGAGAGUCGUCCUCGAAUUUUCCUUCCCCUAAAUUCUUACAUCGACUCAAAUAACAGGUCAAAGAUUAAUACAGGAAAAAAGAAGCAACAGGUCACUUGUGUGUGUGUUGUGUUCAAUCCAUCGGAAGGAAUACCAGUCGGAGGUCGCUUCCUCGCCGCCGAUUAUGUCAGCGUAACCUACUAUGAUGCUACAGCUCGAAUCUUCCAUGACUGACUCAAUUUGGGCACACGUUUUUCU